AACUGUAUCGUUAACUUUGUUGCUGCCUGGCUUGUUUGGCAAAUGAAUGUCGGAGCCGUUGCAUUCAACAUUUUCAGCAUACCGUCACAUCUUAACGUUAAUUUACUCGACGUGGAGGUACGUGUUGCAGUGGUUGCAGUGCACUUUUUUAGUUUUAUAAAUAAAGGUUUAUUACCUUUUUAUUGUUGUUGAUGCGGUGUAACGUGUUUGUUAAUGAGCAUGUCUGAAGCAUCAGGCGUAUUAAUGUUUCUGAGGUGAUAUUGAGCAGCUGUGAUAACGUUAAAUCUGAAUUGCGGUACAACUGUGUUUAGAGUGCUUUAUGCCUUCAACAGGAGCAGGCAGAGCAAUUGUCAAGAAAAGAAGACUCCAUUAACGUUACGACUUUUUAUUUUAAAAAGAUUAUAUGAGCAGAAGAUCUGACAACACGGCGUUCUUCAAGGAUAACGCACCUUUUCUGCCAAACGAGGUCAUAAUUGCUGCUGUACUUUGCAUCCCAAGCCCCCCCUGCAUUUUUAUCACGGAUUGCUGUCACACAAGUUACCAUUUCCUCCCCCGUUGUGGUCGGCCGAGCUACACAUUCUCUUUGUUUUAUUUUAAACAUAAAUAUCCAGAGGAGAAUGGCACCUACGCUGGAAUUCAUUCAAAUUCUUCCUGUUAAGUAAUCCUGACCGAGCGUCAAAGGUUCAGAUGAAGGGAAUCUACGCUUCCAAGACUCAUGACUGAACUACUUCUAGAUUCCAAG